UGAGCAAUCUGCCCUUCUCAUCGGAAUAAGCGUUGGAAACGCCGUCUAAUGCCGAAUACGACCUCCUUUCGCAUGAUCGGAGGUGGAAAGCUCCGGCGGAGAAGGAUGAGCUCGCGGCCUAUCAGCUAGUUGGUGGGGUGAUGGCCUACCAAGGCGACGACGGGUAGCCGGCCUGAGAGGGCGACCGGCCACACGUGGGACUGAGACACGGCCCAGACUCCGUACGGGAGCAG
rnacentral:rRNA from 1 species